AGUAAAAUACCUUAUUUAAAAGGGUCACCUUGAUGCGGUGAACACGUUAACAACUUUUACUU
rnacentral:tRNA from 1 species